UUUAGUGCCAGUCCGAUCGCCCCAAAAUGGGUAUGAAAAUAUCCUGCUUGUAUCUAUUUUUUAAGAAAUUCUGAGAAUUUCAAGAGUAACAACUGUUCAUAUCUGAAACCAAUCAUAUUCAAUCAUAUUGUUUGUUAAAUGAACCCUCGAGGCCAAAUUUAUGGAUUUGACACAAGUUAGGACUAAAUUUGAGAUAAAAUGUAAAAUUUUAAAAUUUGUCUAGGUGUAGGAGAC
rnacentral:lncRNA from 1 species